rnacentral:rRNA from 1 species
GGGGAAUAUUGCACAAUGGGCGCAAGCCUGAUGCAGCCAUGCCGCGUGUAUGAAGAAGGCCUUCGGGUUGUAAAGUACUUUCAGCGGGGAGGAAGGCGAUAAGGUUAAUAACCUUGUCGAUUGACGUUACCCGCAGAAUAAGCACCGGCUAACUCCGUGCCAGCAGCCGCGGUAAUACGGAGGGUGCAAGCGUUAAUCGGAAUUACUGGGCGUAAAGCGCACGCAGGCGGUCUGUCAAGUCGGAUGUGAAAUCCCCGGGCUCAACCUGGGAACUGCAUUCGAAACUGGCAGGCUGGAGUCUUGUAGAGGGGGGUAGAAUUCCAGGUGUAGCGGUGAAAUGCGUAGAGAUCUGGAGGAAUACCGGUGGCGAAGGCGGCCCCCUGGACAAAGACUGACGCUCAGGUGCGAAAGCGUGGGGAGCAAAC